AUAUUAAAGUUGUUGCGGUUAAAAGCUCGUAGUUGGAUUUCUGUCCAAAGUGGCCGGUCCCCACUCUGUAGGCGUAUCUGGUUCGCUUUUGGCAUCCUCCUGUAGCACGUUUCUGUCCUUCACUGGAUGGAGCGGAAUGCAGGACUUUUACUUUGAGGAAAUUCGAGUGUUCACAGCAGGCAAUCGCCCUGAAGAUAUUAGCAUGGAAUAAUAAUAUAGGACUUUGGUUUUAUUUUGUUGGUUUCUAAGGCCGAAGUAAUGAUUAAUAGGGAUAUUUGGGGCCGUUUGUAUUAUGAGGUCAGAGGUGGAAUUCUUUGAUUCUCAUACGACAAACUACUGCGAAAGCAUUCGGCAAGAAUGUUUUCAUUGAUCAAGAACGAAAGUGUGGGGAUCGAAGAUGAUUAGAUACCGUCGUAGUCUACACCAUAAACUAUGCCGACUAGGGAUUGGAGGUUGUCUUCUUGUAACUCCUUCAGCACCUUACGAGAAAUCAAAGUUUUUGGGUUCCGGGGGGAGUAUGGU
rnacentral:rRNA from 1 species